GACGAACGCUGGCGGCAGGCCUAACACAUGCAAGUCGAGCGCGCCCUUCGGGGUGAGCGGCGGACGGGUGAGUAACGCGUGGGAACGUGCCCUUCUCUGCGGAAUAGCCUCGGGAAACUGAGAGUAAUACCGCAUACGCCCUUUGGGGGAAAGAUUUAUCGGAGAAGGAUCGGCCCGCGUUGGAUUAGGUAGUUGGUGGGGUAAUGGCCACCAAGCCGACGAUCCAUAGCUGGUUUGAGAGGAUGAUCAGCCACACUGGGACUGAGACACGGCCCAGCCUCCUACGGGAGGCAGCAGUGGGGAAUCUUAGACAAUGGGGGCAACCCUGAUCUAGCCAUGCCGCGUGAGUGAUGAAGGCCUUAGGGUUGUAAAGCUCUUUCAGCUGGGAAGAUAAUGACGGUACCAGCAGAAGAAGCCCCGGCUAACUCCGUG
rnacentral:rRNA from 1 species